rfam:Triticum urartu cultivar G1812 contig383183, whole genome shotgun sequence.
UUAAUGCUCCCUCCGUCCGGAAAUACUUGUCGGAGAAAUGGAUGUAUCUAGAUGUAUUUUAGUGCUAGAUACAUCCAUUUUUAUUCAUUUCUCCGACAAGUAUUUCCGGACGGAGGGAGUACUAG